AUUAAUUGUUUAAAUUGAGGCGGAUACGCCUGGCUGGCCAGCGGAAUUCUUAUAAAUUGUAUUCCGGCACGGGUGAAUUCCAUCGAAGGAUUUACGCAUCCCAUACAUUAGAUUAGACUUUGGAUACAUUUGAGUUCGGAAACUUUCUUGAAGGGUUUAAGUAAUUACGGGAACUAUACGAAUUUAUGUAAGAGGAAAUAAAUAGAUGUGGCAGUUCUUGGUAAACGAAAACAUUAACAAUGUAAGAGAAACAGGAAAUUCCGUUAAAGGGUUGAGUAAAUAAUCGGUAAAAAUCGAAAGCUGAGGAAACUUAUUAAAUAAAGAACUCGUGAAUUUGACGUACAUUCGGGGAUUCCCCUCGCGCUUUUCCGUAACUGAUGUCUCUGAGGACACUUUAUCAUGGCUCGCAAGGCUCAAACAAUUGUUGCAAAUGGAGCUCAGCGGCUAAGUGGUUUUAUUUUAAGUCUUCCACGUUCUGCACAGAGUCGAGAAAAAAUAUGGGAGCGCGGAAAUCUGCAGCCUUCUGACAACAAGUUGCUUUCAAAAACUCAACAGUCGCGACAAGUUCUCAAUUGUUUGGUGAAUGUCAGUCUUCAUUUGUCAGCUACAUCCAAAGUUGGCUUAAGUGGCUUCGUUGCUGGGCGGAAGACACAGAUACAGUAGAUUUAUUUUAUAUAUCAAGCAAGUAUUGUUUAGGCCAAGCUUUAAG